rnacentral:rRNA from 1 species
UACAGAGGUCUCAAGCGUUGUUCGGAUUCAUUGGGCGUAAAGGGUGCGUAGGUGGCGCUGUAAGUCGGGUGUGAAAUUUCGGAGCUUAACUCCGAAACUGCAUUCGAUACUGCGGUGCUUGAGGACUGGAGAGGAGACUGGAAUUUAUGGUGUAGCAGUGAAAUGCGUAGAGAUCAUAAGGAAGACCAGUGGCGAAGGCGGGUCUCUGGACAGUAACUGACGCUGAGGCACGAAGGCCAGGGGAGCAAACGGG